AUGAUUUGGCCUAAAUCAUUUUCAAAUUCUUAACUAUAGGCAAAUAUAUAUAUAUUUUUUGUCUUUUCCCUUUUUAUCGGUACCAGGGAUCGAACUCACGAUUGCCUGCUUGCAAGGCAGGUGCUUAUGCUGCUGAGCUAAAUACCCAGCCCCUGCUGUAGGCAAAUUUUUAAAGCAGAAGACAUAGACAAAUCUAGGGGGCUAAGCUUUGUAUUCUGAGUAGAGUAGUUUUGUUUUGGAAUGUAGCUCAGAGCACAGCACCAACCUGGCAAGCACAAGGUCCUAAGUUUGAUUCCUGGUAUCCCCCCAACCCCCAAAAAAGUUUUGUUUAAAAGAUGCUAAGUAGGGGCCAGGGUCUUAGCUUAGUGGCAGAAAUGCCUGCCUGGCAAAUGUGAGGUCCCUGGUACCAAAAAACACAUAACUAAAAGUAAAAGAAGCUAAGUACAAGCUAAUUGUUAGACUCCAAAAGAAGAAGAGGGACUGGAGAAAGCUGAGGGCUCAAGGCAGAGUUGGGCUGUUUCUUCCUGAGUCUGCUAUGACUGACUGCAGGUGGACAGAGGCCAAAGGUGCCGCACGGGCAAGACUGAGUAGUGGACAGACAGGCGAGAAGAAGCUGAUCUGUGUGGAAUGAAGUUAGAGCAGGCUUGAGCCUCAGUUUGAAGAGAAAUGCAAACUCUAAACAUGAACGUCCAUAAAACAGGUUUAGAAUACGAGUGUUCUAUGAUGUUUGGGUUUCAGAGAGUGAGCGACCCAAAAGAGGGAUGAAGCACAGGAGAAAACAUCCCUUUAGAAAGUUUAUCUUGGAGAAAUUAACAAGAAUCUCUCCUCACCUUGCAUCGCAGAGUGUUGAAAGAUGAGGAAAUGAACCAAAUUAACCCACCUUUUGCUUAAUUCUCUCUGCUUUUAGUCUAUUCUGCCUGUCUUGAUCUUAAUCUUAAACUAUUUGUGGAAGUUUAAAACUCUGCUCAAUUGAUCAAAAUCCUCCUUAAAUCCCCAUUGUUUAUGACAGCUCCUAUUUUCUCCUACAUUUUCCUCUACAGUUCCUCAACCUACCUUACCCAGACUUCAACAGAAGUCCUGAGAAGCAGCGUAAAGUCUUAUCCAUUUCCUGGGCAAGUCUAGUGUGCUGGAAGAGGUGAUCCCUCAGGGAAGGAGAAUACUGCCAGGAAAUGAUCUGACCACACAACUCUGGUAGAUUGAAGUAAUGGAACCUAAAUUACUCUGCCCUCUAGUCUUCUAAAUGGCUUAGUGUAUUAGCCAUGACCCUAGCACAGGGAGCUGUACAGUGUGUCCUUCAAAGAUUUUCUUUUCUUCCUCUUUCUUUCUUUACAAUUAAAAGUAAAAGUGCAGAGGACAAACAUUGGAUAAAUGUAACGGUAGAAUUAAGAUAAAUGCAUUUCUUUUCCCUAGGAAAUUUUCCAUGAUAAAUGAAGAGCUUUGUCCUCCUUAGUCAGCAAGGUCAAGUGCUAGCUCUUUAAGGAAGAUCAAUUUUUCUAAGGCUGAGGUUAAGGGUUGGGGCUGAGAGCCUUAAAAGGAUCUAGGGCUUGAGAGAGCAAAUAUUUCUCUGAACAAAGAGAACCAAUGGUUAUUACUGAUCUCUCCCAAGAGGUUUGGUGUUUGUUGAUGGUUUCAGUGCUGCUGGUUGACACUGUAUGAUUGCUUUGGCAUUCCCAAGGCAUGCACUGGAGUCGACCUGACCAUUCACAGCUACAGCUGUCAGGGCUAGUAACACUUUCAAUAGCGGGUACCAUGCUUAUCCCAGAUGGACACAGAGUUUGUGUUGCAUUAAUGUGUGAGAAAACGUCUAGGCCAUGUGUUUGCAGAGCUUCAUGGAGAAAGAUAUGACAUGAGUCACAUCACCCUGAGUCCCAGCUCUGCUUCUGUCACUGAACAACACACAGAGAGAAUAAUAGUAGGUCCAGGGCCCCCUACUCACUCCAAAACUUGUGUCAUUGGCAGAAACUUAGCUGCAUUUCAUAAAACUACUUCAAGUCCUAAAAUUCUAUGUCUGAAUGUUCUUAGUCACCUCAUCCAAUUCCCCUCCUGUACUAUGUUUUUCUGUAGUAGUUGAUGAGAGAGCUUUGUCUAGCAAAGUUAAAGAGUUGUUGAUAGAAGAAGGAAACGUUACCUUAAGAACAAGAUUCCUGAAGCAUCCUAUUGGUUUUAAAAUCAAGUAGGAAUGAAAAGAUCCAGGUCACAGGGCUGUUAUGUACAGGAUUUCAGGGCAAAUGAAAUCUACAAUAAGAAAGCAUCACAUGUCUAGGAGUGAAGAAACUAUAGAAAUAACAACAGUCUUCACCUUCAGAGCUGUGAGCAUUAUACACUAAGCCAGAAGUUCCUGUCGUCACUGGAAGAGAGGUAGAUACAAGCUGAAGUCCUGAUGAAGAAGAAGAGAAUGAGGAAAAAGAGGCGAAACUGCUGUGAACGUUUUGAAUCCAUCAGCACGUUGAGACAGCCGGGAGAAGACACUCAGGAAGGAUCACUUCCAUAACUGCUUCAGAAAGUAGCGAGGAAGACAGAAUAAAUGUCUUUGAAUCAAGGGAGGAUAUUCUUACCAUAAUAGUCUUUUUUUCAAAAUUUAAACAUUCGCUGUGUUUUGUGAUUAUGUCUCAUAUGAGAAUUCCAAUUGCUCCAUAGUCUUGGUAAUACUUAGUAUGAGUUAGUGUAUUAAAUUUUAGCCAUUCCCAAAAUUGUGUAAUAGUUUGAUACUCUAAUAAUGACUGAUAUUGAUCAACUUUCUAUGUGCUUGUUUGCAAAUCAUACUUUUUAAGUGAUACCUGCUCAAAUCUUAUGCCCAUUUUUUUUAUUAUUGAGUUUUGAGUUCUUUAUACUUCUGAAUCCAAUACCUCUAUCAGUAUAUUCUUAUAAAAUGUCCUUGUAGGCCAUGUUUUAUAUUGUAAUUCUCUUUACAGUGACAUUUAAAGAGCAAACCUUUUAAAAUUUGAUGAAGUUUGAUGUUUAAUUCUUUCAAAUGUGGUACGCUGUAAAUGAAAGACCUAAUAAAAAUCUUUUCCUGAUCCAAA